rnacentral:rRNA from 1 species
UACGGAGGGUGCAAACGUUGCUCGGAAUCAUUGGGCGUAAAGCGCACGUAGGCGGACUGUUAAGUCGGAUGUGAAAUCCCUCAGCUUAACUGAGGAAGUGCACUCGAAACUGGCAGUCUUGAGUAUGGAAGAGGGUCGCGGAAUUCCCGGUGUAGAGGUGAAAUUCGUAGAUAUCGGGAGGAACACCAGUGGCGAAGGCGGCGACCUGGGCCAAUACUGACGCUGAGGUGCGAAAGCGUGGGGAGCAA